rnacentral:tRNA from 1 species
GGGUGGCGACAGCGGUUAAGACGUCGCUCUUACACAGCGAAGACGCGCGGUUCGAUUCCGCGCGGGCCCA